rnacentral:rRNA from 1 species
UCCGUAGGCGGGCAAUUAAGUCAGAGGUGAAAUCCCACAGCUCAACUGUGGAACUGCCUUUGAUACUGGUUGUCUUGAGUUAUAGUGAAGUAGAUAGAAUAUGUAGUGUAGCGGUGAAAUGCAUAGAUAUUACAUAGAAUACCGAUUGCGAAGGCAGUCUACUAACUGUAUACUGACGCUAAUGGACGAAAGCGUGGGGAGCGAACAGGAUUAGAUACCCUGGUAGUCCC